rnacentral:rRNA from 1 species
GAAUUCGCCCUUAGAGUUUGAUCCUGGCUCAGGACGAACGCUGGCGGCGUGCCUAACACAUGCAAGUCGAGCGAGGAAGAGGAGAUAGCUUGCUAACUCCUGUUUCUAGCGGCGGACGGGUGAGUAACGCGUGAGCAACCUGCCUUUAUCAGGGGGAUAACGCAUCGAAAGAUGUGCUAAUACCGCGUAAGACCACAGCCUCACAUGGGGGAGGGGUCAAAGGAGCAAUCCGGAUAAAGAUGGGCUCGCGUCCGAUUAGCUAGUUGGUGAGAUAACAGCCCACCAAGGCGACGAUCGGUAGCCGACCUGAGAGGGUGAUCGGCCACAUUGGAACUGAGAAACGGUCCAGACUCCUACGGGAGGCAGCAGUGGGGAAUAUUGGGCAAUGGGCGAAAGCCUGACCCAGCAACGCCGCGUGAGGGAAGAAGGGUUUCGGCUCGUAAACCUCUGUCCUAUGGGACGAAGGAAGUGACGGUACCAUAGGAGGAAGCCCCGGCUAACUACGUGCCAGCAGCCGCGGUAAUACGUAGGGGGCGAGCGUUGUCCGGAAUGAUUGGGCGUAAAGGGCGCGUAGGCGGCCUGCUAAGUCUGGAGUGAAAGUCCUGCUUUCAAGGUGGGAAGUGCUUUGGAUACUGGUGGGCUGGAGUGCAGGAGAGGAAAGCGGAAUUACCGGUGUAGCGGUGAAAUGCGUAGAGAUCGGUAGGAACACCAGUGGCGAAGGCGGCUUUCUGGACUGAAACUGACGCUGAGGCGCGAAAGCGUGGGGAGCAAACAGGAUUAGAUACCCUGGUAGUCCACGCGGUAAACGAUGAAUGCUAGGUGUAGGAGGUAUCGACCCCUUCUGUGCCGCAGUAAACACAAUAAGCAUUCCGCCUGGGGAGUACGGCUGCAAGGUUGAAACUCAAAGGAAUUGACGGGGGCCCGCACAAGCAGCGGAGCAUGUGGUUUAAUUCGAAGCAACGCGAAGAACCUUACCAGGUCUUGACAUCCGUGUAAAGCCGCAGAGAUGCGGUGUGAGCUUGCUCAAUACGAGACAGGUGGUGCAUGGUUGUCGUCAGCUCGUGUCGUGAGAUGUUGGGUUGAGUCCCGCAACGAGCGCAACCCUUAUCUUCAGUAGCCAGCAGGUAAGGCUGGGCACUCUGGAGAGACUGCCAGGGAUAACCUGGAGGAAGGUGGGGACGACGUCAAAUCAUCAUGCCCCUUAUGAUCUGGGCGACACACGUGCUACAAUGGCGGUCACAGAGUGAGGCGAACCCGCGAGGGGGAGCAAACCACAAAAAGGCCGUCCCAGUUCGGACUGUAGUCUGCAACCCGACUACACGAAGCUGGAAUCGCUAGUAAUCGCGAAUCAGAAUGUCGCGGUGAAUACGUUCCCGGGUCUUGCACACACCGCCCGUCA